rnacentral:lncRNA from 1 species
CCCAUCCUUCAAUAACCUGACCAACAAUGACACAGAUGAACAAUAGCAUCUCAACUCAAUAAUUCAGAGAACUCGAGCUUAACAACAAUUACUACAUCUCAACUUGAUAAUUCAGAGAACUCGUUUUCAAGUUGAAAUCUUCCAAACCUAGUCUCCAUAUUACACAUUUGAUACUAGCAUAAUCUCAAAUCCAAGAUACAGUAAGCUAAACAAUGGCCUCAAAGAUAAGAGAUUCAAUGCACUAGUCACCUUGUCCUAGCUAGAGUGAAUUUGAAAGGCGUGCCUCCUCUGUCUGUCGCGGCUGGAAUCGUCCAUCAAGCAAAGUACCAGUGUUUGAAAGAGAUGGAUCAAGUUCAGCUUCUUCCUCACAUAGACAAAAUCUGGAGCAGCUUUUAAAUGGAAUCAAUUUUUUACCUUCAACUUCAUCGCCUUAAAUUUAUCAGGAGUCUCGAAUCCUUCACCUUCCUUAACAAGCUUCUUCUUCAAGCCUUGUUGGAUCCUCUUCUCCUCGCCCACUUUGAGAAACGAUGCGUCCUCACCCAAGUCCAUGUCGUCGUCGUCGUUCAUUCCGCCGACCUG